GGAGGAUAAAAUAUGGAUGAGAAGCUACAAACCAAAAAGAAUAGAGGAGCAAUGGGGAACAAGUGAAGAUACAAUCAAAUCACACCCAAAACCUCUAAUUCAAUCCUCUUCUUGACUCCAUUAUUCACACCAAUUUUUUUUUAAUUUUUCUCAUUUUUCUGUAUUUUUUUUCUCGUUUUUUUUUUCAUCUUGUCUCUUUUCC
rnacentral:lncRNA from 1 species